rnacentral:rRNA from 1 species
UACGGGGGGAGCAAGCGUUGUUCGGAUUUACUGGGCGUAAAGGGCGCGUAGGCGGAUCUUUAAGUCGGGGGUGAAAGCCUGAGGCUCAACCUCAGAAUUGCCUUCGAUACUGGAGAUCUUGAGACCGGAAGAGGUAAGUGGAACUGCGAGUGUAGGGGUGAAAUUCGUAGAUAUUCGCAAGAACACCAGUGGCGAAGGCGGCUUACUGGUCCGGUUCUGACGCUGAGGCGCGAAAGCGUGGGGAGCAAACAGG